AUUGAACGCUGGCGGCAGGCCUAACACAUGCAAGUCGAACGAGUGGCGGACGGGUGAGUAAUGUCUGGGAAACUGCCCGAUGGAGGGGGAUAACUACUGGAAACCGUAGCUAAUACCGCAUACAAUCGGCUGUGCAACUAUGGGAUUAGCGAGUAGGGGGGGUAACGGCUACCCUAGGCGACGAUCCCUAGCUGGUCUGAGAGGAUGACCAGCCACACUGGAACUGAGACACGGUCCAGACUCCGACGGGAGUCAGCAGUGGGGAAUAUUGCACAAUGGGCGCAAGCCUGAUGCAGCCAUGCCGCGUGUAUGAAGAAGGCCUUCGGGUUGUAAAGUACUUUCAGCGAGGAGGCGUUACUCGCAGAAGAAGCACCGGCUAACUCCGUGCCAGCCGCCGCGGUAAUUC
rnacentral:rRNA from 1 species